rnacentral:rRNA from 1 species
GACGAACGCUGGCGGCGUGCCUAAUACAUGCAAGUCGAAGGCAGUGGGGACGGGUGAGUAACACGUGGGUAACCUACCAUCAGAGGGGAUAACACUUGGAAACAGGUGCUAAAACGUUAUUGAUGGAUGGACCCGCGGUGCAUUAGAUAGUUGGUGAGGUAACGGCUCACCAAGGCCACGAUGCAUAGCCGACCUGAGAGGGUGAGCGGCCACCCUGCGACUGAGCUACGGCCCAGACUCCUACGGGAGGCAGCAGUAGGGAAUCUUCGGCAAUGUACGAAAGUCUGACCGAGCAACGCCGCGUGAGUGAAGAAGGUUUUCGGAUCGUAAAACUCUGUUGUUAGAGAAGCGGUAUCUAACCAGAAAGCCACGGCUAACUACGUGCCAGCAGCCGCGGUAAUUC